AGCCCACCAGAAGGCGAAGAAAAGAUGUUGUUUAUCCAAACCUGUGAAAAAUGGCGGAAAAAUCAUUUUCCACACACGUGAAUCAGAUCUACCUUCCAGGCGAUUCGGUGACUUUAUUAAAGACAGAUGAAAUUUCGAAUGCCAAAAUCGUACUCGGCCCUGGUCUGAGGAAAUAUGGCAAACAGAUUUUAGUUACUAAACCAGGAAUUUUACGUACGAAAUCAACGCCACCAACUUACUGGAUAGACUGUCAUCACAGACAAAGGAGACUGAUGUUAUUGGUGUGGUUACCAAUGUUGUUGAUGAAUUGUUCAAAGUCUAUAUUGGAUCAAGGGAAGAAGCUUCCCUUUCAAGCAUUGCAUUUCCAGGUGCCCCAAUAAGAACAAGUCCAACAUACAGAUCGGGGAUCUGGCGUUUGCCAAGGUACAAAUAGCGAGCACUGACAUGGAACCAGAACUAGUAUGUGUGAAUUCACUGGGAGAAAAUGUUGGAUUGGGUGUCUGAUCAACAAACGGCUUCGUUAUCACUGUACCUUUGCAUCAUAUUCACAAGUGAUCAAAUGUUGCUGUUUUCUUGUGCAACAAACGCUGCCGAAAUAUCUGUCUUACAAGCUGACGUUUCCCAUGGACCGAUUGGCAACUUCCUGGACAUUGGCUUUGAAGGCACAACUACGCUCUAACUGUGUAAUUGUACUCAUAGUUGGCGGAAGGCUCGAACUAUAGUACAUUGAAAUUGCGCACAUCUAAACAAUGAGUUGUCAACAUCCGCACCAUUUUGUUGGACAGAAAACGUCUGCGUAGGUGCGGGGUUGGCAACUCUAAGCAUAUUAUGUACGUGAAAAUGAACGAGUGCAAAUGAUGGGUUACUACAAUUGGAUCUUUUAUCGUGCCCUCGAAAGCCUGUGCCCAAGGCUUUAAUAUUUAGUUGUAACGCAACGUUUCGUGGACAGACGAAUGCAAUGAUUACGAAUUCAAGUCAGUGAUAGACGGUGCUCAACUUCAUGGCCAUCGCCUAUUCAGCUUAAUUUGAAACAAAUUAGGUAAGUCCUAGACGUUAGGUGACCGUGUUAUGCUGCUAAAAUUCUAUGUAUUUGAUUGUUAAGAAAGAAAAAAAAG